UGGGGAAUAUUGCACAAUGGGCGAAAGCCUGAUGCAGCAACGCCGCGUGAGUGAUGAAGGUCUUCGGAUUGUAAAGCUCUGUCUUUUGGGACGAUAAUGACGGUACCAAAGGAGGAAGCCACGGCUAACUACGUGCCAGCAGCCGCGGUAAUACGUAGGUGGCGAGCGUUGUCCGGAUUUACUGGGCGUAAAGGGUGCGUAGGCGGAUGUUUAAGUGAGAUGUGAAAUACCCGG
rnacentral:rRNA from 1 species